rnacentral:lncRNA from 1 species
GUCACCAUCUGGCAUUUGCUUGUCUUCUCUACUACAUUCCCACCAGGUCGAAAGCUCUCUGAAGAUGAGGAUCACGUGUGAAGCUAUUUUGUAUCCUUCUGCAGCACCUAAUUCAACAAACACUGUGCUCAAGAUAGGGAAACAUGAAACAUCCCAUGCCCUCUUGAUGUGAAACGGGCCACCCUUCCUUUCCUCCUACUUUGUUGCACUUGGAAGUCUGGAUGAAAUGAAGCCAAGAAGGAAAAAUAACAAUGAAGGUACUAAGAAGUGCCUGGCACCUGAAGAACAUGCAUUGGGAGACUAAAUGAGCAAUGCAUCUUGCAUCCCAUCCAGCUGGACCCAGAAGUAUUUAUUUUUCCUUUUAGUGGUGGGGGAUGGGCAAGUGACCUUUCUGGGGAUUGCCUAACAGUCUGUAGAAACGCUGGCGCUGGAUGGUGGGGUACCUUCCCUUAAUGGCUGCAAGAGGAAUUUAGAUUAGACAUUCAAAAGCUGUUCCUUAUGUCGCAAGACACUGCACAAUAAGGAAGGGAAGUAAACAAUCUAUUCAAAA